rnacentral:misc_RNA from 1 species
GAAAUGCGAUAACUAAUGUGAAUUGCAGAAUUCAGUGAAUCAUCGAGUCUUUGAACGCACAUUGCGCCCCCUGGUAUUCCGGGGGGCAUGCCUGUCCGAGCGUCAUUGCUGCCCUCAAGCCCGGCUUGUGUGUUGGGCCCUCGUCCCCCGGCUCCCGGGGGACGGGCCCGAAAGGCAGCGGCGGCACCGCGUCCGGUCCUCGAGCGUAUGGGGCUUCGUCUUCCGCUCCGUAGGCCCGGCCGGCGCCCGCCGACGCAUUUAUUUGCAACUUGUUUUUUUCCAGGUUGACCUCGGAUCAGGUAGGGAUACCCGCUGAACUUAAGC